GUGAAAUUGUUGAAAGGGAAACGAUUGAAGUCAGUCGUGCUGGCGCGAAAUCAACCCUCUCGUCGAGAGGUCACAUGGCGUGGCGAGCCUCAAAACCGUCACGAAGCGUGAACUCUUGGCGAAAAGGAGCACUUUCGUGUCCGCUGGUUAACAUCAAUUUCGAACGUCAUAAAAAGGCUGGAGGGAUGUGGCUCCUUCGGGAGUGUUAUAACCUUUUAGCGGUAAUGUGGUGGUCGGGAUUGAGGAUUGCAACGAAUACCUUUAGGGCUGUUCCACCUGGCCUCUCUCUGGUAUCCUGGUGACGACAGCUUGCUGACGUCGUUAGGAUUCGCCUUUGAACAGGCUAGAGUGUGAGCAAAUUCGUUAAGGAUGUUAACGUAAUGGCUUUAAACGACCCGUCUUGAAACACGGACCAAGGAGUC
rnacentral:rRNA from 1 species